UAAUAAUUCAACGAUUGAUAUAAUAAAAGAGAACAAUUUCAAAUUGCCUUGGACGACAUUUUGUAUAUUGAACGUCGACAAACUGAAGAAUAUGAAGUAUGAUAUAUCUAUGAAAAUCGAACCUCUUAUCGUAUUAUUCGUUUCUAAUCAUAUCUCGGCUAUGUUCUUUCGAGAAAUUUUAUUCGAAUUGAUCGGUGGAAUAUUAUUCAAGAUCUUACGCUAUCUCUUGAAUCUGGAGGAAAAAAAAAGAAAGUAAAAGUUUCAAAGAUUAUUUUCUCUACAUUCUAAUAAUUUUAUGGGAACGGUUAAAACCUGCUUAGAAAUAUACAUAUAUUCGCCUAGAAAUACAUAUAUAACUAUAAUACAAAUAUACAGGUGGUACACGAGCGUGCUUAUAUGUACACAUAUAUAUUGUGAUAUUUUUCUAUACCUAUACACAACGCACAAGGUGUAUCGAUAUAAAGGAUGGUUUAAUCAAUGUCCAAGGUUAAGCGGCACAAUUAUUAACGCACACUCGUUACGAUAUAGUCGUUACGCUCAAGUGUGUUCGUGUCAAUGCGAUCUUUUCUCUCUCUCUCUCUCUCUCUCUCUCUCUCUUUCUCUCUUCCCCUCUUUUUCUCUUGGUGUGGACGCGUUUUGUGACGCACACUCGUUACAUAACGAUAUAGUGGCGCGAUCCAAGCGUGCAAACGAGACUUACGUUACCCUACUCCUCAUCAUUGUAGUCGUCGUUUGUCGUCUUAAUCGUUCAAGUCUUCGUUUGCACAAAUAUACACGUCCCUGCUUUUUCAAUAAUGUACAUAUGCAGAUAUAUAUAUACACAUAUAUGAAUGUAUAUAAUGUAAAUAAGUAGGUACGUGUCGCAUUAUCAAUGAUCACAUGAAGUUUAAAUUAGCAUUGUGAAUGAAAAAAUAAGAACAAUUUUGUUUUAUGAACGUUCGAGGUAAGUACGAUUUCCGUUAACUUUUAGUCGAAGAAAAAGAGAAGACUAAAAAAUUGCUGACACAGUGAAACGUGAAAAAGAAAAAAAAGAGAGAGAGAGAGAGAGAGAGAGAGAGCGGCAUUGCAUAUUUGCAUGUAUGUACGAGGAAUGCAAAAGACUGUAUAUUAGUUUAGCGGGAUUCUCAUUUCCCGCGUAGGUAGCCCUCGAUUCUUUACGUCGCUUGGAUGCCAGUGAAGAGAAAGUAUUUUUCGGAUGUCCAGUUCCGUUGCACGAUCAUAAGAAUUAUCCUAAUACGAGCGUUGAACAGGUAUGCGAGAUGGGUCUUUAACGAGGAGUACCUUAUUUGCUUUAAAUUUUGAUGGGGUAUAUAAAGCCGUUAUGGUAGAUCGCAUGAUUCACGCCUUUGAAAUCGAUGUAAGACGUUUUCAAAGGCUCAUUGCUAUCCUAUUCAAGGAUAGUACCCAUAAUAACGGUCAUUUCGAUGAUUUGAUCGUGUGUUUGAGUAGUCACGAUUUCGAUUAUUAUAGAGCCCAGGCUUCUGUAUACAAGACACGGAUCAUGAAUUAUCUUAGAAAUAAAAUUAAACUUAGAAAAUUUUUUUUUUCCUGAUAUUUUAUAUUCUGCGAUAUAAUUAACUAUACCAGUAUUAAUAAUAAAAUUAUAUUACGAUUUCAUCAUAAAAAUAUUCAUAUUAAAUUAUCUAUAAUUUAAUGUAACUUCGAAGACGUAUGCUUGUAUACGUUUACUUCUUAGAUUUUCUUUGGUUUUUUUGAUACAAACUUCAUUAUUAAUCCAUAUCCGAAUGUUAAUAUUUACUAGAUAUAAGUUAUAUUUACAAUUGGUAUAAUAUUGCGUUGGCAAAUAUUAUACCACUGUGUUUGUUAUUUACUUAGAUAUAAAAUACUAAAUAAAUUUCUAUUUUGUAUUGUUCAUUUACAUGUA